rnacentral:lncRNA from 1 species
CUUUCAUUGCCUUCUCACAAGUUGUGCUAUCGGCGUUUGAGCAGCCAGCCAUGGCAGAUGAGGUGCAAGACAGAAAGCUCUGGAGUCGCGACCCCUGUGGGCCCACACGGAGCUCCAGAAGGAGAUGUCUGGAUCACAGCUGAGUGGGAGAAGAUAGAUAAGUCCCUGCUCUCGGCUCCUGCCUCUGCACAUGGGCACCCAGCCCCUACCUCUGACACCCCCUAAGAGCCUCCU